GGGGUUGUGGCUCAGUGGUAGAGUGCUUGCCUUGCAUGUGUGAAAUAAAAUAAAAUCCUAGUUGAAAGAAUGAAGUUUAAAAUAAAGACAUUUCAGACAAACAAAAACAACAUUCCCUACCAGCUACGCCUCUAUACAGGCAACUGAUGGACGUUCAAACAAAUUCUGCCUCG
rnacentral:tRNA from 1 species